UACGUAGGGGGCGAGCGUUGUCCGGAGUUACUGGGCGUAAAGGGCAUGCAGGCGGUCAGACGCGUUUUGUGUGACAGCGGAGGGCUUCACUCUCCGAGCAUACGAAAGACGGUGUGACUUGAGGGCUCGAGAGGGACACGGAAUUCCCGGUGUAGUGGUGAUAUGCGUAGAUAUCGGGAGGAACACCUGUGGCGAAGGCGGCUUUCUGGGCCCUACCUGACGCUGAGACGCGAAAGCGUGGGGAGCGAACCGG
rnacentral:rRNA from 1 species